rnacentral:rRNA from 1 species
UACGAAGGGGGCUAGCGUUGUCCGGAAUCACUGGGCGUAAAGGGAGCGUAGGCGGCGUGGUAAGUCAGAUGUGAAAUCCCGGGGCUACCACCCGGAACUGCAUCCGAUACUGCCGUGCUAGAGGAUUGGAGAGGUAGCUGGAAUUCUUGGUGUAGCAGUGAAAUGCGUGGAGAUCAAGAGGAACACUCGUGGCGAAAGCGAGCUACUGGACAUAUCUGACGUGAGGCUCGAAGGCCAGGGGUAGCGAAAAGGGG